rnacentral:rRNA from 1 species
UACGAAGGGAGCUAGCGUUGUUCGGAAUCACUGGGCGUAAAGCGCACGUAGGCGGAUGUGUCAGUCAGGGGUGAAAUCCCGGAGCUCAACUUCGGAACUGCCUUUGAUACAGCACGUCUUGAGUCCGAUAGAGGUGGGUGGAAUUCCUAGUGUAGAGGUGAAAUUCGUAGAUAUUAGGAAGAACACCGGUGGCGAAGGCGGCAUCCUGGACCAAUACUGACGCUGAGGCGCGAAAGCUAGGGGAGCAAACGGG